rnacentral:misc_RNA from 1 species
AAUGGGAAUGCCUCCAAUGCCACCAUUUGGAAUGCCACCGAUGGGUAGCUAUUGACGUGCAGGUGACCCCUUUUUGGUAGAAUUUAGCUGUGAAUCCAAGUUGCUUAUAAUGGACAUGCAAGUUCGGGCUUACCAUCUGGUGGUGUUUACUGGUGAUUUGGUGCCUUAAUUCCUUUUUGUGUUUGUUUUGGUGGGAUGAAGGUCUAGCUGAAAUAAUUGUCAAUUUUAAUUUUGAUAUUUAGGUGUGUGGAUAAGUGUUGUAAUAUUCUUUUGAUAGGUGAGGCAUUUUUUGGCUGCUGU